UGCCCAGCUUGCUGGGCGGAUUAGUGGCGAACGGGUGAGUAAUACGUGAGUAACCUGCCCUUGACUCUGGGAUAAGCCUGGGAAACUGGGUCUAAUACUGGAUACUACCUCUUACCGCAUGGUGGGUGGUGGAAAGGGUUUUACUGGUUUUGGAUGGGCUCACGGCCUAUCAGCUUGUUGGUGGGGUAAUGGCUCACCAAGGCGACGACGGGUAGCCGGCCUGAGAGGGUGACCGGCCACACUGGGACUGAGACACGGCCCAGACUCCUACGGGAGGCAGCAGUGGGGAAUAUUGCACAAUGGGCGGAAGCCUGAUGCAGCGACGCCGCGUGAGGGAUGACGGCCUUCGGGGUGUAAACCUCUUUCAGUAGGGAAGAAGCGAGAGUGACGGUACCUGCAGAAGAAGCGCCGGCUAACUACGUGCCAGCAGCCGCGGUAAUACGUAGGGCGCAAGCGUUGUCCGGAAUUAUUGGGCGUAAAGAGCUCGUAGGCGGUUUGUCGCGUCUGCUGUGAAAGCCCGGGGCUCAACCCCGGGUCUGCAGUGGGUACGGGCAGACUAGAGUGCAGUAGGGGAGACUGGAAUUCCUGGUGUAGCGGUGAAAUGCGCAGAUAUCAGGAGGAACACCGAUGGCGAAGGCAGGUCUCUGGGCUGUUACUGACGCUGAGGAGCGAAAGCAUGGGGAGCGAACAGGAUUAGAUACCCUGGUAGUCCAUGCCGUAAACGUUGGGCACUAGGUGUGGGGGACAUUCCACGUUUUCCGCGCCGUAGCUAACGCAUUAAGUGCCCCGCCUGGGGAGUACGGCCGCAAGGCUAAAACUCAAAGGAAUUGACGGGGGCCCGCACAAGCGGCGGAGCAUGCGGAUUAAUUCGAUGCAACGCGAAGAACCUUACCAAGGCUUGACAUUCACCGGACCGCCCCAGAGAUGGGGUUUCCCUUCGGGGCUGGUGGACAGGUGGUGCAUGGUUGUCGUCAGCUCGUGUCGUGAGAUGUUGGGUUAAGUCCCGCAACGAGCGCAACCCUCGUUCUAUGUUGCCAGCACGUGAUGGUGGGGACUCAUAGGAGACUGCCGGGGUCAACUCGGAGGAAGGUGGGGAUGACGUCAAAUCAUCAUGCCCCUUAUGUCUUGGGCUUCACGCAUGCUACAAUGGCCGGUACAAAGGGUUGCGAUACUGUGAGGUGGAGCUAAUCCCAAAAAGCCGGUCUCAGUUCGGAUUGAGGUCUGCAACUCGACCUCAUGAAGUCGGAGUCGCUAGUAAUCGCAGAUCAGCAACGCUGCGGUGAAUACGUUCCCGGGCCUUGUACACACCGCCCGUCAAGUCACGAAAGUUGGUAACACCCGAAGCCGGUGGCCUAACCCC
rnacentral:rRNA from 1 species